rnacentral:rRNA from 1 species
AUACGGAGGGUGCAAGCGUUAAUCGGAAUUACUGGGCGUAAAGGGUACGUAGGCGGUUAAAUAAGUUGGAUGUGAAAGCCCCGGGCUCAACCUGGGAACUGCAUUCAAAACUGUUUGACUAGAGUGUAUGAGAGGUUGGCGGAAUUCCAGGUGUAGCAGUGAAAUGCGUAGAUAUCUGGAGGAACAUCAGUGGCGAAGGCGGCCAACUGGCAUAACACUGACGCUGAGGUACGAAAGCGUGGGGAGCGAACGGGAUUAGAAACCCGAGUAGUCC